AUGAACGAACGACAGCGAAACUAGAGGCCCCGCCUUUAAACCCGUGCAUUAAAUUAUUUUAGUUGCUUUUUAGCGAAAUGACAUUGUUAUAAGACGGCAUUAGAUCUGCAAGAGAGGAGAGUGUGAAAAAAUGGGUACCUUGGAGAUUUUUUGUAUAUUCGCAGCGGUUUCGCAAGCCGCCGCGGUGUUGACUUCCCCGCCGAAGAUUGUGAAGCAGCCAACACAGGAGGAGCUGCUGUUCCAGGUGGCUCUCCCUGGGGAAGUGGACAAGCCCUUCAUUAUAGAGUGCGAGGCGGAGGGAGAACCCGC
rnacentral:lncRNA from 1 species